UACAGAGGUCCCGAGCGUUGUUCGGAUUCACUGGGCGUAAAGGGUGCGUAGGUGGCUUGGCAAGUUUGAUGUGAAAGCUCAGGGCUUAACCCUGAAAUGGCAUUGAAUACUGCUGAGCUGGAGGUUUGGAGGGGGGACUGGAAUUCUUGGUGUAGCAGUGAAAUGCGUAGAUAUCAAGAGGAACACCAGUGGCGAAGGCGAGUCCCUGGACAACACCUGACACUGAGGCACGAAAGCUAGGGGAGCAAACAGG
rnacentral:rRNA from 1 species